rnacentral:rRNA from 1 species
AUUGAACGCUGGCGGCAGGCCUAACACAUGCAAGUCGAGCGGAUGAAGGGAGCUUGCUCCUGGAUUCAGCGGCGGACGGGUGAGUAAUGCCUAGGAAUCUGCCUGGUAGUGGGGGAUAACGUCCGGAAACGGGCGCUAAUACCGCAUACGUCCUGAGGGAGAAAGUGGGGGAUCUUCGGACCUCACGCUAUCAGAUGAGCCUAGGUCGGAUUAGCUAGUUGGUGGGGUAAAGGCCUGCCAAGGCGACGAUCCGUAACUGGUCUGAGAGGAUGACCAGUCACACUGGAACUGAGACACGGUCCAGACUCCUACGGGAGGCAGCAGUGGGGAAUAUUGGACAAUGGGCGAAAGCCUGAUCCAGCCAUGCCGCGUGUGUGAAGAAGGUCUUCGGAUUGUAAAGCACUUUAAGUUGGGAGGAAGGGCAGUAAGUUAAUACCUUGCUGUUUUGACGUUACCAACAGAAUAAGCACCGGCUAACUUCGUG